ACAUCUGAUCCAACAUUCAAAGC
rnacentral:siRNA from 1 species